rnacentral:lncRNA from 1 species
CCUCCUAGCUUUCCUUGGGUCUUGCACACACCGGCGUGAGGAGCGACCAAAAAUCCUCAGCACUCCUUGCUCUGGACACCUGGAACAGGAAAAGAGCAGCCCUCGAGCCUGGUGGUGUUAACAUUCCCAAAAAAGCACCAUGGCAACCUCCCAGUGCUCCUGCCUGCAUGGCCAGCAAGUCUCCAAAGGAGGUCCAAACCUGGUGAUUAUUUCUACUAAUCCUGUCCAACCCAGCUGGGAGCUGUCCAUGAAAUUCCCAUCCCGCUCCAAAAGCUGAGGAGCCACGGUUAAAAGAGGAGAAUGGCCAGUGGUGAGCAGGAUCCCAUGUGCAUAUUUUCCCUGUGAACAAAGCAGCAUUCCAGCUCUCCCCCUGAUGAGAGGGAAGUAUUGUCAAUUAAUUAGA